GCCCAUGCAUGAUAGCUCAGUCGUUAAGAGCAUGAGACUCUUAAACUCAGGGUCGUGAGUUCCAAGCCCCAUGUUGGGCA